rnacentral:rRNA from 1 species
UACGGAGGGUGCAAGCGUUGUCCGGAUUUAUUGGGUUUAAAGGGUGCGUAGGCGGCUCUUUAAGUCAGUGGUGAAAUCCUGCAGCUUAACUGUAGAAUUGCCAUUGAUACUGAAGAGCUUGAGUACAGACGAGGUAGGCGGAAUUUAUGGUGUAGCGGUGAAAUGCAUAGAUACCAUAAAGAACCCCUAUUGCGAAGGCAGCUUACUAGGCUGUAACUGACGCUGAGGCACGAAAAGCCGUGGGGAUCAAAACAGG